rnacentral:tRNA from 1 species
GGGGUUGUCCGACUAGACGGCUCAGCGUGAUCGACCUGAUAAGGAUGAGGCCACAGGUUCAAAUCCUGUUAGCCCCACCA